AUGGGUUAGGUAAAUGUUUCAUGAUAAGAAUACCAUGUCUUUUGUAUUAAAGAAUUAAAUGGAUGAAAUAUGAAGUUUUAUUAAAAGAAAAAGGGGUGAAAAGAACAAAGUUUUGUCCAUCUUUGUUCAUCAUAGCUGAAAGUUAGAGAAGAGAAAGGAGAGGAGAAAGCUCUUGAGUAUUCGGUCAUUAGGAGGAGGAAAAUUGAAGGCGGUUCGUGUGUGGAUCUCGUCAGCAUAUCGUCGCAAACAGGUGUGUAACUAACACCCUCUUUCUUAGUCUGGAUCGGCAAAAGUCGAAAAGCCGAAAUGCCGAAAACUGGUAUUUUGUAGAUUUACGAGUGUGCGAAUGCUCGUAAGGUAAAUCGAUUAAUGUUUUUGGUAAGCUGCAAAAUUUGGACUGCAAAGUGUAUGAUUUCUGUACCCUCGAUAUUUUUGGGCUUAAUGGGCCAAAAUUGGAAUGAUGGGCCAACGGGCCCAAUUCGGUAAUCCCCAACCAUAGUGGGCUUGGAGCUGUGAGGGAAUUCGAAGUGGCCACCCGUUCUGAAAGUUUGAUUUUCUUCUGGUAAACUGGACAUCCUUUUAUUUACGUUUGAAGUUUUGGGUUUUUAAAUGUAAUAAGGCCGCUUAAUUAUUUUUGAUGGUUUUAAUAUGUAUUACUAAGAUAGGUAUUACUUAUUUUAACUGUUGAAAUUGGAUAGCUUUAGGGCGCAUUUUCAAAAACAACAA